rnacentral:rRNA from 1 species
CUCAGGAUGAACGCUAGCGACAGGCCUAACACAUGCAAGUCAGGGGCAGCACAAGGAGCAAUCUGAGGUGGCGACCGGCGCACGGGUGAGUAACACGUAUGCAACCUGCCUGUAAGCGGGGAAUAACCCGUUGAAAGACGGACUAAUACCGCAUAAUACUAAAUUACUGCAUGGUAAUUUAUUUAAACAUUUAUGGCUUACAGAUGGGCAUGCGCAUGAUUAGCUAGUUGGAGAGGUAACGGCUCCCCAAGGCAACGAUCAUUAGGGGUUCUGAGAGGAAGGUCCCCCCACACUGGUACUGAGACACGGACCAGACUCCUACGGGAGGCAGCAGUGAGGAAUAUUGGUCAAUGGACGAGAGUCUGAACCAGCCAAGUCGCGUGCAGGAAGAAUUGUCCUAUGGAUUGUAAACUGCUUUUGCAGGGGAAUAAAGUGCAUCACGUGUGAUGUUUUGUAUGUACUCUGCGAAUAAGGAUCGGCUAACUCCGUGCCAGCCGCCGC